CGAGGGGCAGCGGGAAGGUUAGCUUGCUAACCUUCGUCGGCGACCGGCGCACGGGUGAGUAACACGUAUGCAACCUGUCCGGUACAGGGGGAUAAGCGGCGGAAACGCCUCCUAAUACCGCGUGACAACCCGAGGGGGCAUCCCCUUGGGUUCAAAGGAGAGAUCCGGUACCGGCUGGGCAUGCGGCGCAUUAGCUAGUUGGCGGGGCAACGGCCCACCAAGGCGACGAUGCGUAGGGGUUCUGAGAGGAAGGUCCCCCACACUGGAACUGAGACACGGUCCAGACUCCUACGGGAGGCAGCAGUGAGGAAUAUUGGUCAAUGGGCGCAAGCCUGAACCAGCCAAGUCGCGUGAGGGAAGACGGCCCUACGGGUUGUAAACCUCUUUUGCCGGGGAACAAGCCUGAGCACGUGUACCCAGGCGGAAAAAAACCGGAGAAAAAGCAUCGGCUAACUCCGUGCCAGCAGCCGCGGUAAUACGGAGGAUGCGAGCGUUAUCCGGAUUUAUUGGGUUUAAAGGGUGCGCAGGCGGGCUGUUAAGCCGGCGGUAAAAAUUCAGGGCUCAACCCUGUCGAGCCGUCGGAACUGGCAGUCUUGAGUGGGCGAGAAGUAUGCGGAAUGCGUGGUGUAGCGGUGAAAUGCAUA
rnacentral:rRNA from 1 species